GACCUCGUAGCUCAACUGGUAGAGCAUGCGCGUACAUGGCGUAGGCGGCGUCCAUGCGUGGGUUCGAAUCUCACCGAGGCUA
rnacentral:tRNA from 1 species